rnacentral:lncRNA from 1 species
CUGAUUUCUCAUUGGCAGUGUAAAUGAAACUUCAGACAGAAGUUCAAGUUUUGUCCUUCUAAAUAUGAUAAAGUUGUGGAGGCUCCACUGAAACCUGAGGAACUGACUCUGAAACCCAGAGAAGGAAUAUUGGACUCAACAUGGAUCGUGUUGGAGUUGCAGUGGUGACUAGUGAAAGCAACAUGUAAAGUCCUUUGUGAAGUAAUUAAUAUGGAG